rnacentral:rRNA from 1 species
UACGGGGGGGGCAAGCGUUGUUCGGAAUUACUGGGCGUAAAGGGCUCGUGGGCGGCCCUCUCAGUCGGAUGUGAAAUCCCCAGGCUUAACCUGGGAACGGCAUCCGAUACUGGAGGGCUUGAAUUCGGGAGAGGGAUGCAGAAUUCCAGGUGUAGCGGUGAAAUGCGUAGAUAUCUGGAGGAAUACCGGUGGCGAAGGCGGCAUCCUGGACCGAGAUUGACGCUGAGGAGCGAAAGCUAGGGGAGCAAACGGG